UCUCAAUAUGUUUUGUGCCACAGCCAUCGAGACCUGGAGAUGUAAAUGCUGUCCUAACAUGGUGGUGGUCUUUUUCAGAGACUAGCUCGGAAAUUCCUAUUGAAAUGUGGCCUCUUCCUUCCCAAACACAGUGCGGGAGGUUUCCUAUACAGUCACUGCUUUAAACACAAACACCGGAAUCAUUCCUGUCUAACAAGUUUUUAAAUGAACCAUAUGAUAAUUUCCCUUUCAGUAGCCUACAAAACAGACCACAACCAGCUGUUUUGUCCAAAACACAUUUGGGUCAAUGACAAACAAGGAAAUCCUGGAUUACAUAAAUUCUUAUAUUUGUAAUGGUUUCAUACGUUUUUCAAAAACAUAGAUUCUGUUUUCUGUGAUAUACCUUCAAACAUGAAGUAAGCCUACUAAAUAUUUUUGAAUUUUUAAAUUAUAUACGAUUAAGCUUUCAAAAACAUUUCAUAUUUUUUAUUAAUAAUUAUAUAAUUUAAAGUUUUACAUUACAUUUUACUACCUGUUUAUCUUACAACAGAGAUAAUCAUUCUAAUUUCUUACUCCAACAUUGGCUCUCAAGAAAUUCCUAAACCGUUUUGUUUUCGUGUCAUGUGACGUCGACAUGGCGGCGUACAUAAGCAGGCGACACGCUCCAUAUAGAAAUCUUUCUUUUCCCAGGAAGAUUUAACUCAUCAUCUUGCAUUCUGGUGUCACUGGCUCAACAUGUCAGACCAGCCCAUAAAACCACUUCGACCCAUCAGAUGGAUUUGAUUUUAAUGCUGAUCUGAAAGCUUCUGGCCUCAUCUAAUGCUAUUACAGGAAGAACAUGCACAAGUGAUCUUAGAUCAGACCAAAGCCUCAGGGGAAGAGAAAGCGAGUGAGAGUAGAGACGGUUAAACAGAAAAGGAUAGCUGUCACAGACGCCGCUGAGUGGCGCUGGUUCACUGUGCGUUGGGUUCCUUCUCACAUCCCUGGAGAGCACGCAGGGAGCGAGGCAGCGCAGCACAGAGCUCCAGACCUUUGCCUUCAGCACCGGCAGAUACUGCACAGAGCGUCUCCAGCGCGGACCAACACCGACAAAACAAGCCCAACUGGAAACUAUGCGGGGUGAUGGCUCCUUUACAAACAUCUGUGUGAUUUUUAAACCAGACGCGAAAGCACUGAAGUUUCACGCCGCUCUUAUUUGAGUUGAGAUGAAUAUCUGAGACGCUGCGAGAGAAGGAACUUUGCGUCUCCGCGCACCCGGACGCCCUGCGGGGACAUAGGGCGCUUUUGUGAUCAGAGGACUGAACUUUUGUUUUUGUUUUUGUGGGUUUCUGACUGUCUCUGGCGGAGCAGAUACAGGAGAGAUCAUUUAGAGCGGAUUGCUCAAGCCUCUCCGGUUCGUGGAUGGAAUAACUCAUAAUGUUAGGGCAAUGAGACCCGUCUCUGCUGCUGCUGGGCAAUAAUCCGGACCACCGCACCAACAGGUCCUGGAUCUGCUGUUAGAGUGAAAGUGGUUUAACCCGAGCACUGCAUGUGGGACUGGCCUUGCUAUGCUGAUACACUCAUUGUCACUGACUGGAUGGAUCUGAAAUCUGUUGUCAAUGUAAAUGUUUGGAAAAGUGCAAUAGUGUUGUUUCUGUCAAAUGUAGUGAACUGCCCCUCCUGAGCAGGCGUGGAUUAACGCACAGGUAGGCCUGUCGCAAUAACCAAUAUAUCGAUUUAUCGCGCAAUAUAUGUACAUGACCUCAAUAAUUUUUGGUGAUGCAAUAUAUCGCCCAUUAUAUUUACUUAUAGCACAUAUUAUUGUACAUUCCACUUGUGCCUGUGUCUUUUGCACCUUCUCGUACAUAAUGUGGUGUAGUCGUGAGGAGCUUGUUCAAAUUUAAAUCACGUUUCUACAAAAAAGUUUAAUCUGCAGAUUUGGUUUAAGGAUCUGUGUUUAAGGAUCUGUGAUUUCCAACAUUAGUGUGCACCUUUAACUUACAUAGAAAAGAAGGUGCGGGAAAAAUCUGUAGAUGGAAAAAUCAUUGUUCAUUGUGCAUUUUUCUUUUUUUCUACUCGUUACUUUGCACUUUUUGUUUUAUAUAUAGAUACAUAUAGAUCUAAGUUUAUUUACUAUUUAUUAAAGUUUUUAAGGUAUCUAUUAUUUGGAUACUUAAUUUCCACAAUCUAAAUAUUCUCAAAAAUUAAAGUUUGUUGCCUUGCAUUUUAUGCCAUUACAUUAUGAUUUUAUAUUCAGUGGCAUAAAAUGGUCUUUAAAAUGGCAAUAAUAUCGAUUAUCGCAAUUAUUCUGGGGCAAUAUAUCGCACAACAAAAAUUUGUUAUCGUGACAGGCCUACACACAGGCAUGCCUAGGCUGCAGCCUAGGGGCCCCACGUGUGCAGGGGCCUCGGAUUGGCUGGACUAUUUUUUUUAUUAUUUUACAUUUUCUUUAGGCAAACAAAAAAAAUCCUCAUUGGCCCAUAAAAAAACAUCGAAAGAGGAUUCAUUGCAAAGCGUCUGACAAAAUAAAUGUAUUGUAUUGUAAAAUGCACGCUCAGCGCUGCCGAGAGUUCGCGUGAUUGCUAAAUUGAAACCGAAAGUAAAAUGUGUACGUGCAUUCAAAAUCGAUAUUAGUGAAUUUUAAGCGUCGGCAUUAAUGAUAAUCAAACAAUGAAAGAGUCUUGACUGAAUGCCAUUUGUAGCUUUUAUAAGCAUUAAUAUAGUAUAAAUU